CAGUAGCCGCGGUAAUACAGAGGGUGCGAGCGUUAAUCGGAUUUACUGGGCGUAAAGCGUGCGCAGGCGGUUCGUUAAGACAGAUGUGAAAUCCCCGGGCUUAACCUGGGAACUGCAUUUGUGACUGACGGGCUAGAGUAUGGCAGAGGGGGGUAGAAUUCCACGUGUAGCAGUGAAAUGCGUAGAGAUGUGGAGGAAUACCGAUGGCGAAGGCAGCCCCCUGGGCCAAUACUGACGCUCAUGCACGAAAGCGUGGGGAGCAAACAGGAUUAGAUACCCGUGUAGUCCCUGUCUCUUAUAC
rnacentral:rRNA from 1 species